rnacentral:rRNA from 1 species
AUUGAACGCUGGCGGCAGGCCUAACACAUGCAAGUCGAACGAGUGGCGGACGGGUGAGUAAUGUCUGGAAAACUGCCUGAUGGAGGGGGAUAACUACGGGAAACGGUAGCUAAUACCGCAUACCAUCAGAUGUGCCCAGAUGGGAUUAGCUUGUUGGGGGGGUAACGGCUCACCAAGGCGACGAUCCCUAGCUGGUCUGAGAGGAUGACCAGCCAAACUGGAACUGAGACACGGUCCAGACUCCGACGGGAGGCAGCAGUGGGGAAUAUUGGACAAUGGGCGCAAGCCUGAUGCAGCCAUGCCGCGUGUGUGAAGAAGGCCUUCGGAUUGUAAAGUACUGUCAGUGGGGAGGCGUUACCCACCGAAGAAGCAACGGCUAACUCCGUGCCAGCAGCCGCGGUAAUUC